AUUUUAAUAAGUAGGGCACAAAAGUGACGUGCCAGCCACAGAUCUCACAGCCUAGGCAGAAAUCGGCCCGUCCUGAUAACUGCAUUUAAACAGAAUUUUCACUUGGUUUCCCCCCAAAAGGGUUUUCCUGCUUCUUCUUCCUCCUGGAAAUGAGGUCCCGAGUCGGCUUCUUUAAGACAAAGACUUCGGUGGGCGUCUCCCUGCCAUUUGUGGCCAGGACCUCUUCCAGCAUCCAGGAAUCCUACCAGGCCUCUGGAAGGAGAAAAAGAAGUAAGAAGAGUGUGGGUAGGUAAAACGAUGCUGGCAGAAUGGGAAAAUCUGGAGGUGGGAUGGGGCCCUAGGUCCCUGAGUAGCCAUAUAAGCAUCAUGGUUUUACUAGGAUUAUUUCAGCCAC
rnacentral:lncRNA from 1 species